CGCUAACACUCCUACGGGAGGCAGCAGUGGGGAAUAUUGCUACAAUGGGCGCAAGCCUGAUGCAGCCAUGCCGCGUGUAUGAAGAAGGCCUUCGGGUUGUAAAGUACUUUCAGCAGUGAGGAAGGUUCAUGCGUUAAUAGCGUAUGGAUUUGACGUUAGCUGCAGAAGAAGCACCGGCUAACUCCGUGCCAGCAGCCGCGGUAAUACGGAGGGUGCGAGCGUUAAUCGGAAUUACUGGGCGUAAAGCGCAUGCAGGUGGUUUGUUAAGUCAGAUGUGAAAGCCCGGGGCUCAACCUCGGAAUUGCAUUUGAAACUGGCAGACUAGAGUACUGUAGAGGGGGUAGAAUUUCAGGUGUAGCGGUGAAAUGCGUAGAGAUCUGAAGGAAUACCGGUGGCGAAGGCGGCCCCCUGGACAGAUACUGACACUCAGAUGCGAAAGCGUGGGGAGCAAACAGGAUUAGAUACCCUGGUAG
rnacentral:rRNA from 1 species